rnacentral:rRNA from 1 species
UACGUAGGGACCAAGCGUUGUUCGGAUUUACUGGGCGUAAAGGGCGCGUAGGCGGCGUGACAAGUCACUUGUGAAAUCUCUGAGCUUAACUCAGAACGGCCAAGUGAAACUGUUGUGCUAGAGUGCAGAAGGGGCAAUCGGAAUUCUUGGUGUAGCGGUGAAAUGCGUAGAUAUCAAGAGGAACACCUGAGGUGAAGACGGGUUGCUGGGCUGACACUGACGCUGAGGCGCGAAAGCCAGGGGAGCGAACAGG